CUCUAUCUAUCUAUGUCCGUGUGAAUUCAAAGUUGCAGAGAGUUGCAGAGAGUUGCGAAAAACGACGGCCAUGUCCGGUCCACGUCUAGACCUACGCACAAGGGAGCAAGUUAUCAAGCAGUCAACUGCAUCGUUCUUCUCGAGCUUUUACACAUUUCUCUUUCUAUCCCUUCUGCUUUUCUCAUUCCGUACUACUGUCGAGAACGCAACCCUACACGUCACCUCUUUCAUCGAUAGGGAUCCCUCUCUCAAAGCCCUUUUAUCCCGUCUCGAUCUUGCUGGCAAGAAUGCCAGAUCUUCCGAAGGACUUAGAUCUCCGGCUGGCGUUAACAGACGCCGCCGGCCUUUUCUUCACCUCAGCCGUGUCGGAACCCUAGACGAUGAUUUCUUCUCCGGAGAAAGCGAUGACGAUCGGAGUCUCUUUGGGAUGGGUCGUCGUUCCCCUGUUAAUGGUAGUUCUGUGAAUCUCAGCCAUUUUUUUAGUGGCGACGGCAAAUUAGGGUUAUCGGAUUCUGAGGAGAGAUACGGGUUUAGGCUUUCGGAAGUUGUUGGCUCUGGAUUCCUUUUCAAGGCGGAGGGGUUGUCGUUGCCGGAUGACGGUGACGGAGAUGGUAAUGUUGAAGGAACUGAAAGAGCGGCUUUGGACAAGGGAGAGGAAGUCGACCGUCCUGCGGAUUUUCAGUUAUUUAUCAAGGGUAUCCAUCUCGGUCGUCGCGAUGCUGCGGCCUUGUUCUUUCUGGUGAGUUUCUUAUCUGCAGCAUAUGGUUGGGUAAUUCUGGGCUAUUUGGUUACGCAUUCUUGCAUUCUCGGUAUUGUGUUCUAUACUGUCGUCAACGACCAUUUGGGAAGGUAUCAGUCGUUUAGUAGAACGGUUAACGCUGGUUCGCGUUUGGGCAUUCGGAGGCUUUCUGGGUUUAUACUCAUGAGAUGGGCUGUUAGAGAUGCGUUGACCCAACUCCUUGGUUUGUGGUUUUUUGGUGAAAUUGAGGAUCAGUACUCUUUCUUUAAACUGUUUGUUCGAUUGAAACUCAUGCCUUUCUCCAUUACUUCUCCGUGGAUUCGAGGGUUUGAGACUGAGAUCUCAGGGUUUCUGUUUACAUGGUUUUUGUUGGAUGUUAUUGUGGCUUUCGUUCUUGCGUUGGAUUGUUGGGUUGCAAUUAUGGACGCUAGGAGGAGUGGCAGGGAAGUCGUGAAGGAAGGAUGCCACUUAAUUUCUACAAUGUUAAACCAGGCCGUCCAAAUAAAAUGCUAUGAAGCCAUCCUUUGUGGGCCAUUUGUGAGAUGGGUUCUAACUCGGAUCUGUGGGAAAUUGUUAGCCUCAUUUUUUCAGUCGGUAGUGGAGGUUUAUUUUAUGGUGGCAUGGUUGAUAUUCUACUUCGCUGCGAGGUGUAAGGAUGCAAAUCCAGACGGUAGGAGGUUCACUCGGAGAAAUUUGGAGGAUUACAUUGAUGGUCAUAGAUGAUACCACUGCUAAGUGGGUGACUGUUCAGUAGGAGGCCUCAACUGUAACUGUAAAAAUACUGGAACUUCGAAGGGAUAAUUUUUCUUAAUUAUAGAGGAUUCUCUUACUUUUCAUCCAUUGCAGCAAUAUGAGCAACCCAGCUCACAGACACCUUGGGGGGAGGAGGGGGGGGGGGGGGGAGAUGAAAAUAAUGCAGUUCCUAGUUGCAAAACCAUUCAUCAACACAAAGCUCGUUGCCUGAAUUAAGCACAAUUUUAAGGAGAGAAAAUCACCCAAUUAUACUGUUUCUUAUGGACAAAGUGCUCUUUCUAGGUCAUGCCAGAAUGGUUACAAAAUGCAAUCGGAAUUGAUAAACUCCUGUGAUAUUUAGUGCUUAUCUGGUAUAUUGCAGGUGGUAGCACAAUUGGCUGCUUUAUGAAUGCAAGGAAAA